GGGCGGAGCCUCCAGUCUUUUCACCGAGUCUCUCCUUAUGAGCCUCUACCGGCGGUCUUUCAUACAGUUGGCGGAGCUGGACGGUUUGUUGGCGUCUGCAGCACAUUUAAAGUCGUGUGAAAUCAACCUGUAACGACGCCGGUCGGUUCCUGCUGCUUGAAAAUGAGGAUUGAGUCCAUAGUCUCGCUCCUUGUGUGCCUCUGCUUGUGGAUACCUGCUGCUCAGUCGCAGUACUCUUCCUCUGCUACUCCACCUGAGGAUGAGGAUGCAUCAGGAGAUGACUUGGAGAUCUCUGGGUCAGGCUCAGGAGAUGAAGGUUCUGUAGUUCCCAUUGACUUGAUGACUACUGAGGUGUCAACACUAGCAAUCACCAAUACGACAAAAACAGCCUGGGUCACAGAUGCUCCGGUUAAAGUUCCAGAACCGACAGCCAGCCAGCUGUCCUCAACGGUCAUCCCCCUAGCUGAUGUAGAAACAGCAGGCCCCACCACCAAGGCUCCUCUGCUGCACACCACCAAAAUACCAGAGACCUCACCGUCUCCAUCCUCUGUCGAGUCACUUACCCAUAUGAAAGAUGUAUCUGGUGCUGAAACCCCAAUAGUCCAUCAUGUAAACCUAGAAGAUAAUACCACCCUUCCAGAUGAGAAGCUGCCUGUGGUGCCUGUAACUACAGAACAUUCUAUCACUACUCCCCCUGUUGACGUUGAAGAAGAAACUACAGUGCUUGUUGCGCUGGAUAAGGAGGAAGAUCGAGCGACAGAUCCAGUCGUAGUCGUUGACCAAUCAACUGAUGCUCCAGACAUGGAGAGCACAAUAUUGCCUCUUACCACAACGUCAGCUAAAGAGGUAGCAGAUCCUGAAGCUUCAGGUGAAACUGUGGAGUCCACAACAGUUCAGGCCACCAUUGAUGGCGGCUUGAUUGAGGAAAACGUGAUUCCAGGUGUGAACCGUGAGGCUUACACACAAAUGCCGGUAAGAGGACACAGUACUGAACUUAAAAUAUCUGAAGGUUGCAACUCAUAUGUGUUCUAUGAAAUUAUUAGUCUUUUAAACACAGGUAUGAUGUGGUAA
ensembl:lncRNA